AUUGAACGCUGGCGGCGUGCCUAAUACAUGCAAGUCGAACGCAGUGGGGACGGGUGAGUAACACGUGGGUAACCUCCCAUCAGAGGGGAUAACACUUGGAAACAGGUGCUAAACCGGUAUUGAUGGAUGGACCCGCGGUGCAUUAGCUAGUUGGUGAGGUAACGGCUCACCAAGGCCACGAUGCAUAGCCGACCUGAGAGGGCGAUCGGCCACAUGGGUACUGAGAUACGGCGCAGACCUCUAAGUGAGGCAGCAGUAGGGAAUCUUCGGCAAUGGACGGAAGGCUGACCGAGCAACGCGGCGUGAGUGAAGAAGGGUAUCGGAUCGUAAGACUCUGUUGUUAGAGAAGCGGUAUCUAACCAGAAAGCCACGGCUAACUACGUGCCAGCAGCCGCGGUAAUUC
rnacentral:rRNA from 1 species